GCCUUCGUGGUGUAGUGGUCAGCACACUCGACGCGUAUUUCGAGAGGUUCAUGGUUCAAGUCCCGGGGAGGGCA
rfam:Stegodyphus mimosarum contig10034, whole genome shotgun sequence.